AACAUAGGGGGUAAGCGUUGUCCGGAAUUACUGGGCGUAAAGGGCGCGUAGGCGGCCAUUUAAGUCAGAUGUGAAAAUUUGAGGCUCAACCUUAAACUGGCAUCUGAAACUGCAGAACUUGAGUACUGGAGAGGAUAGUGGAAUUCCGAGUGUAGCGGUGAAAUGCGUAGAUAUUCGGAGGAACACCAGUGGCGAAGGCGGCCUACUGGGCUCUAACUGACGCUGAGGCUCGAAAGUGUGGGGAGCAAACAGGAUUACGAUACCCCCCGUAGUCCCUGGA
rnacentral:rRNA from 1 species